GAGAGUCCCUCCCUCGCUUCUCAUGUUGCAGGAAGAACGUAAGCGCCCGCCCCUUGUCAAUCAGUCACCAUAUAAUUUUGGAUUGGUUGUUGUGGUGAAGUUUUCCACCAAUAGGAGAGAUGUUGUGGUGUGUUUUUUUUUUCUUUUGGCAAGCCUUUUCCGCCUGUAAGACCUGUCGCUAAUGUCUGCAUGCUAUGUUUUCCUGUCUCAUACAGCGCGAUCGAGCGCCGAACGUGAUCAAAAUAAGCAGAAAAAAAGUAUCGCGGACAUAAUUUAUCAUAACUCUGGUUUUAUUUGGCCUAUCAACACAAUUUAAAAACUGGUAUAUAGGUUGAGGUCCUCACUUUUGAGAUAAGUUGAAACGGAGAGUCAACAAGGCUCCGUCUUGCAGCUACAUCCGGUUAAAUAUGUCAUGUGACUUGAACGCACACACAGACACACACACACGCACACACACACACACACACACACACACUCAGAGUCUGGUUUUUAGCACCUGCAAAAACAUGCUAUUUACAUAUUUGACAAGAAUGCAGAGGCUCCUUUUGCCCCUGAAAAAAAUCAAAUUUCAAACACAACUUGACUGCUCAUUUCUCCAAAAGACAACCAUGAAGCUCCAUCCAAACCUGAAGCAGGCAGUUGGUGCAUGUGUACAGUAACCUGAGGGGAGUGAGGUGAGUGCUUCUGAGGAGAACAUGAGCAGUGAAGAUUCACCUUGGAGCUAGAACAGAGACAUGCACAUGAUUAUACAGGGGCAGGGGCUCAAGUUUUUUCCAGUCGUUUAUACAAUAUGGAAAUUAAUGUGAAAUUAAAACACAAAGUAUUAAUACAAAGGUAAUGACUGUCCUGUGUAGGUGACAGUGAUAUCCAAUAGGCUAGGCACUCACGAGGCUGGCUGUGGCAAGUGUAAGUGAAAGCAACACGCACUGGCAGGAAGAACAGCAAACGCCGAUGAAGGAAAAGGGUCUUUGCAGUGAUGGGCGUUACCAGAGAGGGCGAUGGCCAGAGGACACAAAUGCGACGGGGAGGCAGCACGUUGGGGGGGGGGGACGCGACACGGCUCGGGCCCGCCAGUGCCCCAACGGGGUCCUAGUUCGCAUUUUUUGCCGAUUCGCACACAUUGGAAUGUAGCUAACUCCUCCUAAGGCUUUCGCUCCACCGGCACCAAAUUUGCUCAGGCCAAUCUACACCCCAUGGUCAGUCAAAGUUGUAAAAAUCAUGACGCUGCACCCCACGGUUUAAGUUCUAGGGGGCGCCAAAGAUGACCCAAAUAUCCAUAUUCUUAAAAGUGUUAUAACAUUUUAUUUUUGUCCUCACUGGCCUCCAUGUUUUCUAGGAUGAUGCAAUGUCCAGCCAUCAACACAUUUGUGAAGGAGUUUUUCCUCGUUAAAAGAGCGCCCCCCCAUGGCAGGAGAAUAAAGUCAAGUUUUUCCUGUUCAUCGUUCAAUGGCUCAAACGCAUCGCUCUCUCGGCAAAAGCGAAAGGAGGAGCAACUUGCCAUUUGGAUAUAUCUUAGCUGUGUUUGUGCCCUCACUCAUGGUCCAGACUUUUUUCAAAUAGGACAUGGAGUUUUUCUGCAGCGAGCGUUUUGGUAGAAACUGCGCCUCCCAUUCAUUAUAAUGGUAAAUGACCACAGACAAGUGCGCACACCAUCUUUGGACCUUGAGUGUGACGCGAUUGGGUGGGGGAGGCGUCGCGCUGGGGGCGGCGCGACACGGCUCGGGCCCGCCAGUGCCCCACCGGGGCCCUAGUUCUUUCUUUCUUUCUUCUUAUUUUUCCUCCCCUUUGAAGGGGAAAAUGGCCCACUUCCCACUGGCGAAAACUCAUGACAUUUGGCAGGAUGACCGGGCCUGGUGAAAAAUUCGAUAUUCUGAAGUCGCCCAAACAAUAAAAUGCAAAAUGGCUCCAUAGCGCCCCCUAAGGUGGAAAUUCACACUAUUGACUGUCACGCUUGUACGCUUUGUCAUAUUGACACAAAAAUUGACACACACAUGUAUCUCAAUACGAUCUACAAAAAAGUCAGUGUGGGCGUAUCUGUCAAAUGUACGGUUAAAGGGUUAUUUCGCAUUUUUUGCCGAUCCGCACACAUUGGAAUUUCGCUAACUCCUCCGAAGGCUUUCGUUCCACCGGCACCAAAUUUGCUCAGGCCAAUCUACACCCCAUGGCAAUUAAAAGUUGUACAAAUCAUGACGCUGCACCCCACGGUUUAGGUUCUAGGGGGCGCCAAAGAUAACCCAAAAAUCCACAUUCUUAAAAGUCUUAUAACUUUUUAUUUUUGUCCUCACUGGCCUCCAAGUUUUGUAGGAUGAUGCAAUGUCCAGCAAUUAACACAUUUGUGAAGGAAUUUUUACUCGCCAAAAGAGCGCCCCCCCAUGGCAGGAGAAAAAAGUCCAUUUUUUUCUUGUCCCCUAAGGCGAAAAUACACAUUGUUGAGUGUCACGCCUGUACGCUUUGUCAUAUUGACACAAAAUUUGACAAUCACGUGUAUCUCAAUAAGAUCUACGAAAAAGUCAAUGUGCACGUAUCUGUAAAAUGUACGGUUAAAGGGCUAUUUCGCAUUUUUUGCCGAUUCGCACACAUUGGAAUGUGGCUAACUCCUCCUAAGGCUUUCGUUCCACUGACACCAAAUUUGCUCAGGCCAAUCUACACCCCA
rnacentral:lncRNA from 1 species